CACGGAGGGUGGUGCGGGAGCCUGUGACGCAAGCUGAGCCCUGGUGGUGCAGAAACAGGAGGAGAGGGAGGUGGGGGGCAGCAGAGGUGAGGCGCCUCCGGGAAGGCUGCAGGUGGAUAAAAGCACCGAGGACAGAGAAAGAGGACUCCCGGCCCCGAAGCUCGAAGCUCGUCAGCUCCUGCUGACGAACAGACACACUUUUUCCUUCCACCAACAGAAAGUGAAACUAGGCAAUCCAUGUCGGGCCGGAGAAGGUGGAACUUCCCUGAAACUAAAGGUGUUCGGGCAGCUGCUUGGGAAUAUUCCUUAAAGUCCCUGGCCAGCAGGAGACUAAUCAGACAAUUGGCUCCAGGGAUCCUAGCCGGCAACCCGGAAACUAACAAGGGAGAAAACCGCACAGACAACACAGAGCCCACCAAGAUGCAUUCAGUCCUCUCAAGAUCUACACCAGAUCCAGGUUCUACACCAGCCAGAAGCCUCUCCUGUCCCCAUCUGUUAUCUCCAGCCGUUUGUACCACCAGUGUUUGCCCGUCCCUGCGACAUUUCAUGCCUCUGAGCCUCUGUACGUGCGGUUCCCUCUGCAUCCUGACACCUGGUCUGAAUGCAUCCACUUGGAGAACUCCUACGCAGCCGGUACCGCUCAGCCAUCCUAUCACCCCUCCAGACCCCCAGGUCUCAGAAGCCAGUUUCCUACCGCUCUCAAAUCAAAGCCUCCUUUUCUGUGUGGCCCACGCUCUGGAAAACAGCCUUUUUCAUUGGUGCUCCCGGUGCUCUGUCGCCCCCUUGUGCCGGGUCUUAGACCUGCAUGGAAAAAGUGCCGGGCGAUUCUCUCCACCUGCUCCCCAGAGUGACGCUGAGCCCUUCUCCUCCUGCCCUGGACCUUGGGAGACCGCCCUGUGUCCACUCCAUCCACGGGGGUCCUUCGCCCUCCGCCUUCUGGUUGGGUUCUGCCUACUGGAGGCAAUAGGAAUGCAGGAGGGGAGAGGUGGGAGUAUUUAUUUGGGGGGCCCCUCCCUGCAUCCCUGCCCUUCCGGCAGUGGCCGUGUUCCUCUGCCUAGAGCCUGCCUCGAGUUCUGUGGCCUCCUCUCCAAACCCCAGCUCCCUGCCCUAAGGGUGACAAUGGCUUGAUUCUCACUGUGGCUGGUCCCCUGCUGCCGCCUCAUCCUAUGUGGGUUCCUUCACCGUUCCCACCCCCCCUGAAACGUCCCUUCAUAAAUGCUCCCACCUAAGACCUGAAUGGCUAGUUGUUUCCCACCAGGUGAGCCCAGGAGACAAGGGGACCCUCACUGCCAGUGGCCCCUUAGAAUUUCUUCUUCGGAGGAGCUUGGAAUGACCAAGCUCGUUCUGACGAGAGGGGUCUGCGGGGCUUGUCUUGAAACUGAUAGGACGCGUCCCGGGUUCUUUGUCGGGAGGGGCUACGUGAUACCUCCCUUGAUGCUUUCCCCGACUGUGUCCUUGAAGGAGGAAGAAAGGCAAAUGUCUCUAUUCCUCUGUGCGUUGCUGGUCGCUUGGGCGCUUGGUUGACUCUCUCGCUUUCUGUGUCCCUCAAGAGCCCUGAGAAGAAGUAGGUAAUAUGGCUCAGAGAGGGGAAGUCACUUGUCCAAGGGCACACAGCAAAUGACUAUAAGAAUAGCUACCUUUAAAAAAAAAAAAAAACC